rnacentral:lncRNA from 1 species
CUUUUUUUUUUUUUUUUUUGUAUAUCUCACAUUUUCUCAAGUGUCAUGAUAGGUAGUCUAAAGGCACAUUAUUAUUCUUAUAUCAGAUAAAAUAAAAAAAAAUAGAGUGUAUAUUAUUGAGUUGAUAACAAAUGUCGUAAUAAAAGUGCUAUAAUGACACAAACCAACAAGUGUUCUUAUAGACAUGUCAGGAAAAGCCAUUUUUGUUGUAGUGUCCUCAUCACCAUGCCACCCCACCACAGCCACCAACCAUAUCAUAGAUGUCUUUGAUGUAUGUAUAAAGUAUUCAAGGCUGCAGGCAUAUGUUUGAUCUUUAGAUCCCUUGUAAUAGUAAUACUUAGUGGAACUGAAAUUCCCAAUUCAAUAAAAAAAAAAGAGAAAAAAAUCUAUGAGAUGACUAAUUAGAUCAAUCCAUGAAGCCUUCAGAUCAUUUCAAAUAUAUGUUGAGAAUCGAAGUCAAGAAAUUUUGAAGUUACUAUAGAUUUGAUGGUGCGCAAUAUAGUUAAACAUGAUUAUAAGUUUCUCAAAUCUAGACAACUAGGCAUAAAAACAACUCUCUUUUUCUUUUUUCUUUUUUUUUGGUUCAAGAGGAAACUUCAAACCUUGCAAAGGAGGAAAGGGAAGUGGCACUUUAAUUUUGCAAAACGAAGAUCUUUAUUACCUACAGGGCAUCUGGUGUCUCCGAUUGGAUGGUUUGGAAUUCCUGGUUUCCUCAAUUCUGUGUCCAAGUUAUGCAAAAUAUAAAGGGGAUUAUGGAGAAAACAAAAUUUUUAUGCUAUAAUGGAAAAGAAAAUUUAAGGAAGCAAAAUGAGCACCCAAUUUUACCCAGUACUAAUUGAGCUAUUGAACAAUAACAGUAGAGACCAAAUUAAGAGAUUUAUAUAGAUUAAAGCCCAAAAGCGCAAGCAAAAUGUCAUGUGAAGCAACAGUAACAAACUCUGUACAUGAACCAUGGUUCUUCAAUGAAAGUCACAGACCUGUGUAUCUUUUGAGAGAUAGUUCUUCGUUUCCAAUAUUUUACCAUCAAGUUAUGUACGUGCCAAUAUGAUCUAUGCAAACAGGUUAAGAUAUCCCAUGUAUGAUCUGAUCUAGAACUCCAUACUAGUGUCAAUUGUUGCAUGUUUGCCGUUGAAUUUUCUUAAAGAUCUGCAUAAAUGGCCUCUUACAAACUAUUAGAUUAAGACUCUGAAAUUCUAUUAAAGUAAUUUAAUUAAGGGUAAAUUACUUAUAAUCUCCUGCAAUUUUACAUAGUGUCAGAUGGCCCCCUAUGGUUUCAAAAUAGCCACAUAUCCUCUCUAUGGUUUUAUGUAAAGUAGAAAAUGGAUGGAAUGCACAAUCACUUACACUGUUUAUACCAAAAGCGCUCUAAAAGCACGUGUGGUAAAAUUUUAAUCUGCAUAUAACUCCUUCAUGGUUUGUAUAAAUAUAAAUAUCCACUUUACUCUCUUUUGAAUUUUGCAUUUAUCCAUAUAAUCCCCUUAUGCUUUUAUAAAAAAUAGUUGGUUGUCAAUAGAUUUGGCAUUUAAAUAAGGGUACUAUUGGUAUUUCAAUUAACGACAUUACAUAGGUUAUUUUCUAUCAACUUUUCACUUUAUAUAAAACCAUAAGUGAGUGAAAUGGAUAUCUUGAAAUAUUAGAGGGGCCAUGUAGCAAUAAACGAAACCAUAGAGAGGGUUAUAUGUUAUUUACCCUUUAAUUGAUGACCAUGACUACGUGGAAGUUGGAUGCUUCAAAAUAUAAGACACGAUAAUAGUCGUUAAUAAGUUUCUGUUUGAUCAAUUUUUCCCCUUUGCUCACUCAUGUUCUUGGUUUUUUUUUUUCAAAUUUGAUGAAAAUAAAGGUGAAGCAAUAUUUUUGUGAGUUAGAACGCCACCUUGCAAAUCCUAUAGGCAGGUUUUUUUUUUUUUCAAUUUAAAAAGUUAUUCUAAAUCUUACAAUGAUGAUAAUAAAAAAAAUAAAAAAAUUGAAGAGUCCAAAUAAAGUCCUCACGAACGUUGCGAAUCAUAUAUAUAUAUAUAUAUAUAUAUAUAUAUAUAUAUGUAUAUAUAUAUAAAGGAGUUGUUUGAUUGUUGGAUAAUUUUCAUCUGACCUUUUCGAGGGUGAAGUUAGGUUAUGCAGCCCGAGUGUACAAGUCAUUAACGGUAUAGUACUAGCGUUGUAUGUUCAUUGCUGUGUGCAUUACCCACUUUACCCUUAGUGGGUUGAUGCUUACACUGCUUCAGCUUUGCGCUUCUAAGUAGCCGUUACCAUUGAUUUGUAAUUGCUGCAAAUCGUCAUGCAAGUCAUUGAGUUUCUGCAAAGAGAUCUAGGGGUUACAUUGAAUAAUUGGAGCAUCAUUACGCGCACAUGAAUGCAUUGAGAAGAACAUUAACUCAAUCCUUUAUAGUGGAAGUGUAACUGCUGGCUUUUUCUCUUCUAAAUUUUUCACAAAAUGAAUUCAGCAGAUGUAAGGAGUUGGAUCUUUAGAGUGAGCAAUUAUGGCUUCUUUAUUACAAUAGUAAUGGAUGGAAGAUGAGGGACCUGUUGGAAACGUCUGAAUAGAAACUGAAUGUUUUUUGCUUUGUUGAAGCAUUUGUCAAGCAGUUUUUUUUAGCAACCCGAAUAAUGAAGGACAUUAACACAGAGUACGGUUGCAUGAGUUGCUUAAACUCUAUAUUACCAAGGUGGUCCUUGAAGAGGCAAGGUUUCUUGCACUAUGUUUUUCAGGUAGAUACUAUCUCUGUAUAUAUCGAAUUCCUGAAUGAAACAGUGACAAUAUUGUGCAGUUUAAAAGUGGUUAUUAUAUUUGUAACUGUAUUCUUGAAUUUUCAUGUUUGCCAGCAACUGAGGUACAACUGUGAGGCAAGGGAUUUGUCCAGCAGCAGCUUUGUGAUCAAGGUACUUCCUAAAACAAUUGUUCCAAUUAAUUAAUGCAUUAUUGGUGUUCAUGCGUUGCUGUACUAGAAUUACAAUUGUGUUCUGCAACUGUUUUAUGCAAUUUAGACUUGCUAAUUAGUCUUAUAUUGUCCUUUUCAACUUAUCUGCAAGCCUCUGUGUCAGUUAAAUUGCAGUAGUUAUGGUAGGGGAAACAUAAAUAGGCACUAAGUAACAAAAGCACACCAAACAUUCCUAAAUAUCUAAGCAUGUGAUAGUUUUAUGGCUAGGGGCUCCUGUUUGUUGAUUACUUGAGGAGAAAUAAGUUACAAUUUGAAAUAGUUCAAUCUUAGAGUAAAGGAUUUACAAAUAGUUGUAUGAUUUUCUUUCUAAUCAUUACAAUUGAAAGGACAAAAGUGAUUCAAUUUUUUUUUUUUUAUAAAUGUUUUCACAGUAAAUUUUGUAAAAAUUCUUACUGACUUAUGAUCAUGUGAUUAAAUGACCAUUUGGUUACUUUUACAUUUCUCCACUUAAACAAAUUAGUGUUUUUUUAUUCCAUUUGUGCAUUUAAAAAUCACUAUACUUUUUCAUUUUCUUUUGAUAUUGAUAGCAUUUUUUACUUUCUUAAUCUCGUGAUACAUAACAAAUUAUAACAUAGGUACUCACUCCUGCGCAUUGCACAGUCUUUUCCCCUAGUUGACUCAUAUAUUUACCAGUUAAUUAGUGAUUUUGGGAAUGUAGGCGUAAUCUCUAGUUCCCAUCCUGGGUUUUGGAAACAAUGGCUCCAAGACAAGUCUCGGUUUUCUUCAACAGGAGAAUCCAAGGGAAGACCCAAUUAUAACGAAGAAAUGCACUUACACUCCUAGUUUGAAUCCUGAAUCGAUAACCAAGAAGGCAAUUCGCGAUCUAGUUAUCUCUGACAAGUUGAUUAUUGUCGGUUCUUAUUACCCUGCAAUCCAAUUAUACUAAAGGAAUGCACUAACACUCGUGGUUUGAACCCUCUAUCUGUAAUCAAGAAUGCAAUUACUCCGCAAGAACUUUUACGGCUCUAUACUUUCGAAGCGAAAGGGACACUAAGAGCUAGUUUUAAGCUUCUUUUGUAUUAUUUUUCUAUUUGUCAGUAAUCUUCAUCUCUUUUAUAAUAAGAUUUUGGUUAAUCAUAGGUAAUACCUUCUAAGGUUUAGUGUAUUUCAAUUAAACCGUUUGGUUAUUUAAACUCAUAAAAGGAAUUGUGACCCUGUUUUAGGUUAUUCUUCACCUAAUUACCCUUGGUAUUAGUUUUUAGGCAAUUGACCUCUUCAUUGAUAAUAAGGUAAUUGUGAUAUUAAAACAGCUAAAAUACAAAGGUGUACCCGCAUCAUUAUAAUUUCUUUUUUUCUUUUAAAUACCUUAGUCCACGGUAAACCAUAUGCUAUAUUGAAAAGAAAAAUACGAAAGUUAACACAUGUCAAACUUUUCUUUUAAUUUAUAGUGUUUAAAGUGAAAAGCGCCGUUGCAGGUAAUAGUAAUUCAAAGGUUUUGAGUGACAAAAAAAAAAUAAAACAUAAGAGCCUAAAGCAUGCCUUUCAUUCUUAAUAUGAAAAUUUCCAAUUUCAGUGUAGUAAAAGUUCUGUUCAGUGGCUUGGAUUAGUUAUUUGGAUACUUUUAAUACACAACACAAAAUAAUUCUCCUUAAUGAGUUUCCAUCUAUUUUACAUUUUAAUGGAAAUCAGUGUAUUGAGUUCUAUAGGUCCUGCCAUCCUUGUACAAAACAUAUUUUCUUGGAAAACAUGAGAAUAAUGGAUGAAGACAUUUUAACCUAGACAGUAUACAUGCCAUAUUCAUUCCCUAAAUUUAGUUGUGUAUGUGUAAAAUAAGCACUCGUUAAAAUAUAUUUCAAGUGUUAGACUUUUAGAAAUGUAAGACUAAUUAGGAAAAAUAUAUAAAUCUGAGGACAAAUAAUAAUCAUUCAUAUGUACAUGGUAGUAAUAAUUGUUAGUAUAUAUAUAUAUAUAUAUAUGAUAGGUUAUGUGGAAUUUAAGUGUGUUAAUAAAAAACGUUAAAAAAUAAUAUACCAGCCUUUAAUUUUUUUCCAUGUAAGUGAAAACGGCAAGUCAAAUGUACAUUGCCAUGUAUUAUAAGAAGGUAAGUGACACGUUAUUAUCUUCCAUAGAAGGAAUAAAAUCUGUUGUAGAUGAAAUUGACAUACAGUCCACUAAAUCUUGUUACUUAAUGUCAUUGAACAAGACAAUCCGCUUUUCCAUUUUGGCUAAGCCUCAUCAAUUCGGCAUUAAAUAUGAAUCAACAAUAAAUCAAGAAAUGACCCCUAUAUAAAGGACCACCACCAACCUCACAUCACUGCAUAAUAGUUGAUAGUUGACUCUUGAUAGGUAAAGCAAGAAAAAUGGCUGUUAAAAUGAGUUGGAAAGCAACCAUUUUGAUCUUUUUCAUGAUGUUAAAUUUCUGGGGAUUUCUCAUGAGUUGCAAUGCAAGAGUUAUUGUUGAGAAUUAUCCCUCAGUUGACAGCAAAACUCUGUUUCAUAAGCUGGGCUUUGAUGUCGCUGAAUACCAGAAGAAGAAUGCCCGAUUGUUGAGAGAAGCACCGGGCGGACCUGAUCCUCAUCACCAUGCCACCCCACCACAGCCACCAACCAUAUCAUAGAUGUCUUUGAUGUAUGUAUAAAGUAUUCAAGGCUGCAGGCAUAUGUUUGAUCUUUAGAUCCCUUGUAAUAGUAAUACUUAGUGGAAUUGAAAUUCCCAAUUCAAUAAAAAAAAAGAGAAAAAAAUCUAUGAGAUGACAGAAAUUUUGAAGUUACUAUAGAUUUGAUGGUGCGCAAUAUAGUUAAACAUGAUUAUGAGUUUCUCAAAUCAAGACAAUUAGGCAUAAAAACUACUCUCUCUCUCUCUUUUUUUUUUUUUUUUGGUUCAAGAGGAAACUUCAUAUCUUACAAAGGAGGGAAGGGAAGUGGCACUUUAAUUUUGCAAAACGAAGAUCUUUAUUACCUACAGGGCAUCUGGUGUCUCCAAUUGGAUGGUUUGGAAUUCCUGGUUUCCUCAAUUCUGUGUCCAAGUUAUGCGAAAUAUAAAGGGGAUUAUGGAGAAAACAAAAUUUUUAUGCUAUAAUGGAAAAGAAAAUUUAAGGAAGCAAAAUGAGCACCCAAUUUUACCCAGUACUAACUGAGCUAUUGAACAAUAAAAGUAGAGACCAAAUUAAGAGAUUUAUAUUGGUUAAUGGCCAAAAGCUCAAGCAAAAUGUCAUGUGAAGCAACAAUAACAAACUCUAUACAUGAGCCAUGGUUCUUCAAUGAAAGUCACAGGCCUAUGUAUCUUUUGAGACAUAUAGUCCUUUGUUUCCAAUAUUUUAUCAUCAAGUUAUGUGCGUGCAAAUAUGAUCUAUGCAAACGGGAUAAGAUGUCCCAUGUAUGAUUUGAUCUAGAACUCCAUACUAGUGUCAAUUGUUGCAUGUUUGCCGUUGAAUUUUCUUAAAGAUCUGCAUAAAUGGCCUCUCACAAACUAUCAGAUUAAGCCUCUGAAAUUCUAUUAAAGUAAUUUAAUUAAGGAUAAAUUACUUUAUAACCUCCUGUGAUUUUAUAUAAUGCCAGAUGGCCCCCAUAUAGUUUCGAAAUAGCCAAAUAAUCACUCUAUGGUUUUAUGUAAAAUAGAAAAUAGAUUGAAUGCACAAUCACUUACACUGUUUAUACCAAACACACUCUAAAAGCAUGUGUGGUAAAAUCUUAAUCUGCAUGUAACCUUUUUAUGGUCCAUAUAAAUAUCCACUUUACCUUCUUAUGAAAUUUGCAUUUAUACAUAUAAUCCCCUUAUACUUUUAUAAAAAAUAGUUAGGCCGUCGAUUGAUUUGGUAUGUAAAUAAGGAUACUAUUGGUAUUUCAAUUAACAACGAUACAUAGGAUAUUUUCUAUCAAGUUUUCACUUUAAUUAUAUAAAAUCAUAGGUGAUUGAAAUGGAUAUUUUGAAAUAUUAGAGGGGUCAUGUGGCAAUAAAUGAAACCAUAGAGAGGGUUAUAUGUUAUUUACCCUUUAAUUGAUGACCAUGACUACGUAGAAGUUGGAUGCUUCAAAAUAUAGGACAUGAUAAUAAUAGUUAAUAAGUUUCUGUUUGAUCAAAUUUUCCCCCUUGGUCACUCAUGUUCUUGGUUUUCUUUAAUUUGAUGAAAAUAAAGGUGAAGCAAUAUUUUUGUGAGUUAGAAUGCCACCUUGCAAGUCCUAUAGACAGCAUUUUUUUUUAAUUUAAAAAGAGAUUCUAAAUCUCACAAUGAUGAUUAUAAAAAAUAAAAAAUUGAAGAGUUGAAAUAAAGUCCUCACGAUCGCUUUGAAUUGACUCAUAUAUCUACCAAUUAAUUAGUGAUUUUGGGAAUGUAGGUGUAAUCUUCAGUUCCUGUCCUGGAUUUUGGAAACAAUGGCUCCAAGACAAGUCUCGGUUUUCUUCAACAGGAGAAUCCAAGGGAAGACCCAAUUAUACCAAAGAAACGCACUUACACUCCUAGUUUGAAUCCUCCGUCGAUAAUCAAGAAGGCAAUUCGCGAUCUAGUUAUCUUUGGCAAGUUGAUUAUUGUCAGUUCUUGUUACUCUGCAAUCAAAUUAUAUUAGGGGAAUGUACUAACACUUAUGGUUUGAAACCUCUGUCUAUAAUCAAGAAGCAAUUCAUGGCGAACUUAUAUUUGACAAGUUGAUCAAGAAUCGUUACUCUUUUGACACAAAAAAGGGUUUAGAAAAUCCUUUUCUUGUGUCGAAGACUAGGAAGACGAAUAAUCUCUUCUAGAAGAGAUUGUUUGUUUCCUAUAUAUCCCUUCUAUUACCCGAUUACUUCUGUCAGGUAUCUAAUUUAAUCGAAUUCUAUUUAGAUGAUCCAUUUUAUAACAUUGAAAUCGGGCAAUAGUAAUAUUGUCCCAUCGCCCCAAUUUAACUAAAAAAAAAUAAAGAAAUAGGGUGAAAGUCAAAUAAGAUUUUUCAAAAUCUAUAUACUAUGACUAGCAAUGCGACGAAAGAAAUUCCCAGCAUCUCGUAGAAAAAGUAUAAACAAGCACAAGUCUCUGCAAAGCUUUUACCGCUCUAUACUUUGGAAGCGAAAGGGACACUAAGAGCUUGUUUUAAGCUUCUUUUGCGUUAUUUUUCUAAUUGUAAGUAAUCUUCAUCUCUUUUAUAUAUCAACAAACAUAUAUAAAUGUGGAGGAAUUGGUGUACAUGGUCAAUAUACCAUGUAACAUGCUAAUUUUAAGAUAUCUAGGGUCGACCUUUAUCUAAGCUUUUGGUUAAUCAUAGGUAAUACCUUCUAAGGUUUAGUGUAUUUCAUUUAAACCGUUUGGUUAUUUAAACUCAUAAAAGGAAUUGUGACCCUGUUUUAGGUUAUUCUUCACCUUACCCUUAGUAUUAGUUUUUAGGUAAUUGACCUCUUCAUUGAUAAUAAGGUAAUUGUGAUAUUAAAACAACUAAAAUACAAAGGUGUACCCACAUCAUUAUAAUUUCUUUUUUUUUUUUAAAUACCUUAGUCACGUUAAACCAUAUGCUAUAUCGAAAAGAAAAAGAAAAAGGUAUGAAAGUUAACACAUAUCAAACUUUUCUUUUAAUUUAUAGGGUUUAAAGUUAAAAGCACCGUUGCCAUAAUAUAUAGUAAUUCAAAGGUUUUGAGUGAAAAAAAAAAAAAAAAGCCUAAAGCAUGUCUUUCAUUCUUAAUAUGAAAGUUUCCAAUUUCAGUGUAGUAAAAGUUCUGUUCAGUGGCUUGGAUUAGUUAUUUGGAUACUUUUAAUACACAACACAAAAUAAUUCUCCUUAAUGAGUUUCCAUCUAUUUUGCAUUUUAAUGGAAAUCAGUGUAUUGAGUUCUAUAGGUCCUGCCAUCCUUGUACAAAACAUAUUUUCUUGGAAAACAUGAGAAUAAUGGAUGAAGACAUUUUAACCUAGACAGUAUACAUGCCAUAUUCAUUCCCCAAAUUUAGUUGUGUAUGUGUAAAAUUAAGGGUAUGUAUAAUGGGUGUUCAAUGGGCACUCGUUAAAAUAUAUUUCAACCGUUAGACUUUUAGAAAUGUAAGAUUAAUUAGGAAAAAUAUAUAAAUCUAAGGAAAAAUAAUAAUCAUCAGUAUGUACAUGGUAGUAAUAAUUGUUAGUAUAUAUAUAUAUAUAUAUAUAUAUAUGAUAGAUUAGGUAGAAUUUAGAUGCGUUAAUAAGAAAACGCUAAAAAAUAAUAUACCAGCCUUCAAUUUUUAUUUUUCCAUGUAAGUGAAAAUGGCAAGUUAAAUGUACAUUGCCAUGUAUUAUAAGAAGGUAAGUGGCACGGUAUUAUCUUCCAUAGAAGGAAUAAAAUCUGUUGUAGAUGAAAUUGACAUACAAUCCACUAAAUCUUGUUACUCAAUGUCACUGAACAUGGACAAUCCGCUUUUCCCUUUUGGCUGAGUCUCAUCAAUUCGGCAUUAAAAAUGAAUCAAAAAUAAAUCAAGAAAUGACCCCUAUAUAAAGGACCACCACCAGCCUCACAUCACUGCACAAUAGUUGAUAGUUGACUCUUGAUAGGUAAAGCAAGAAAAAUGGCUGUUAAAAUGAGUAGCAAAGCAACCAUUCUGAUCUUUUUCAUGAUGUUAAAUUUCUGGGGAUUUCUCAUGAGUUGCAAUGCCAGAAUUAUUGUUGAGAAUUAUCCCUCAGUUGACAGCAAAACUCUGUUUCAUAAGCUGGGCUUUGAUGUCGCUGAAUACCAGAAGAAGAAUGCCCGAUUGUUGAGAGAAACACCGAGCGGACCUAAUCCUCUUCACCAUGCCACCCCACCACAGCCACCAGCCAUAUGAUAGAUGUCUUUGAUGUAUGUAUAAAGUAUUCAGGGUUGCAGGCAUAUGUUUGAUCUUUUGAUCCCCUGUAAUAGUAAUACUUAAUGGAACUGAAAUUCCCUUGUAAUACGUCUUGGUUUUGGAGUAUUUAUGUUUGAGUUUGAUGCGAUUAUGUAUGGUUGCUAUAUAUAUAUAUAUAUUGUAAUUUUUGUGGACAUCUAGAAAUCAAAUUAUAUUUAUACAUUGAGUUGAUACGCACGAAAAAACUUAUGAUAAUACACUAAAUUAUGUAAGAAAUAUAUUCCAAACCUAUAAUCGCAUAAAAAUCUCAACUGUACUUCCCUGUACGUGUCUCCAUGCAAAAGGAAUUCUUGAACAUGGAGGAAAGCAACAUCACUCGACGGGUUUAUCAAACUUAGAAGAUUAGAUAAGCAUUUCCAUCAUUUGACAAAUUAUCUCGAAUUGAAAUUGUUGACAUUCGUGAAAUUGUUAGUAUGUUCCAUUUAAACCGUUUGGUUAUUUAAAACUCAUAAAAGAUAUUGUGACCGUAUUAUUCCUCACCUUACCCUUAGUAUUAGUUUUUAGGUAAUUGACCUCUUCAUUGAUAAUAAGGUAAUUGUGAUACUAAAACAACUAAAAUACAAAGGUGUACCCACACCAUUAUCAUUUUUUUUUCUCUUUUAAAUACAUUAGCCUGCGUUAAAGCAUAUAAUACAUUGAAAAGAAAAAGAAAAUGGUAUGAGAGUUAACACAUGUCAAACUUUUUCUUUUAAUUUAUAGGGUUUAAAGUUAAGGGUGCAGUCGUCAUAAUAGCAAUUCAAAGGUUUAGAGUUAUAUAUAUAUAUAUAUUUAUUUAUUUAUUUAUGUUAUAUAUAUAUAUAUAUAUAUAUAUAUAUAUAUAUAUAUAAGAGCCUAAAUCAUGCCUUUCAUUCUUAAGGAGUAAAAGUUUUGUACAGUAGCUUGGAUUAGUUAUUUGGACAUUUUUAAUACACAACACCAAAUAAUUCUCCUUAAUGAGUUUCCAUUUAUUUUACAUGUUAAUGGAAAACAGUGUAUAUGUUGAGCUUUUAUAGGUCCUGGCAUCCUCAUACAAUACAUAUUUUCUUGGAAAACAUGAAAAUAAUGGAUGAAGAUAUUUUAACCUAGACAGUAUACGUGCCAUAUUCAUCCCCUAAAUUUUAGUUGUGUACAUGUAAGAUAAAGGGUUUGCUUAAUGGGUGUUCAACCGGUAUUCCUUAAGAUAUAUUUUAGGUGUUAGAUUUUUAGAAACAUAAGAGUAAUUAGGAAAAAUGUAUAAAUGUAAGGAAAAAUAAUAAUUGUUAGUAUAUACAUGAUGGUAAUAAUUGUUACUACGCAUAUACAUUAUAGGUUAAGUGAAAUUUAGGUGAAAUUUAGGGAUGUUAAUAAGUGCCCAAUAAACACCCAUUGCGAAAACGUUAAAAAAUAAUAUACCAACCUUUAUUUAUUUUUUCCAUGUAAGUGAAAACGGCAAGUUAAAUGUACAUUGCCAUGCAUUAUAAGAAAGUAACGGCACGUUAUUAUCUUCCAUAGAAGGAAUAAAAUCUGUUGCAGAUGAAAUUGACAUACAAUCCACUAAGGGUACGUUUGGUUCUACAGAAUUAGAAUUGAAUUAGAAUUGGAAUUCUAUAGAAUUUGAAUUCUAUGAAUUAGAAAUCCAAAUCCUUGCAAUUCUUUCGUUUGGAAAAUACAUAGAAUUGAUACGGAAUUUAUUUGGAAUUCCAAAUUCUUUGUUUGGAUGAGAGAAGAAUUCAUUAGGAAUUAGAAUUGUUUCCAACUAAUAUUUCCUUACAUAAAAAAUUUCUUUUUUUUACUAUAUAAUAAUUUUUUAACAUUUAGCUAAUUGUUACUAAAGCUUUAAGGAAAAAACCAAUUAGUACCUUUAAUAAUUUAUUUUUUCUUGCAUUUAACUAAUUGUUAAUAAAGCUUUAAAAGAAAAAAAAUUAGUUCCUUUUUUGCAAAAAUAAAAAAAUUCUUUUUUUUAAAUUAAAUUAUAUUAAAUAAAAAAUAAUUGUAUAUUCUAACUUAAAAAGUAGUUAAUAUUUAUCGAGUUAAAACCUUGAUACAAAUUUAAAGUUAAGAACUUUAAAUUUUAGAAAAUCAAAAGCCUACUCUAUGAUAUGAAUUGGGAGGAAAGUCAUAACUUGUACCUAUUAUAAAUAUUUGAGUUUUGUAUCUUACAAGAAAUUUCAAUAGAUGAAUACACAAACAACGUGUUUUUAGCCAAAAAAAAAAGAGAAAGAAAAGCACAGUUAUACAUUGCUACUAUUUUUCAAUAAAUGGCCAUUCUAAUAUUAAAUUAAGUUCGAAUAAAUUCCUAUCAAAUUUCAACUUCCAUGAUGGCCUUGUCUAAUUUGAUAGUCAAUAAACAUUGCUCGUGCUAAAGCAUUCCUAAAUUGUGUCCACUCGCUAGUUGGUUGUACUGUUCGAAUUCGAUUCUCGUUAACAGCAUUUACACCACCAUCAUUAUUUGGACCAUCAUCUUCCAUUCCAUUUUCCUCAUCUUCAUCUUCCAUUUCAUCUUCAUCAUCAACCUCAUGUUGUACUCUUCGCAUCUCAGCAUCAACUUCAUCCAAGUAAGGGUCAUUUGGUUGUUCUACUCGAAUAAGAUUAUGAAGGAUGGCACAUGCAUUAAUUAUCAUGACAUGAGUCUUAACAUCAAAAAAAGAUGCAUCUCUCAAAAUGGCCCACCGCUUCUUGAACAAACCAAAUGUCCUUUCAAUCACAUUUCGAGCAAUUGAAUGUCGAAGGUUGAAUAACUCUUUAAAAUUUUGAGGCUUCCUCCCACUAGCAGACCACUCGCUAAGAUGAUAUCUAACUCCCCUAUAUGGAGCUAAGAAACCGGAGCUAUUUGCAUAACCCGCAUCAACAAGAAAGUACUUGCCUGUAAUGUUAGACAACAAAUUAUUACUCAUUUAUAGUGUUAAAUUCUACAUAGUCAAUUGAAGCUAAAAUGAUAGCUAAAAAGAUUAAUUAUCUUCUCCUUGAAACUCCUCUAUAUAUGUGUGUGUGUGUGAGAUAAAGAUAGCUAUUUACAAUUUCCUAACUAGCAAUGAAUUGCAGGGAAAGCCCAACUGUUACACCACAUAAGCUUUAAAAUAUGCGUAACAAUUGAUUAUAUACAGAAACAUACACCAAAGAACUGCAGGACAAUUGUUCUAGUUAGUGUCAAAAUUGAACCGUUAUUACCAAGCUCAAUAGUUGAAACAUGAAAGCCAGAGAUAGAGCUAUAAUUUUCACAUCAAAAACCUAUUCACAACAUUCUAAGUGCUUGAAAAUAAAUACCUUUAUAAAACCACAGAUACAAGGAAGACUGAAGUGACGAUCUUCAGCCUUUAAGCAUGCCCAACUUCAUGUCAGCCCACAACUUUGCUAUCAAGAAGAAUGCACCGACUUCACUUAAAUGCAGGGCAAGGUUAAACAAGCCUUCCUGUAACAUAUUAGGAACAAUCAAACACAUUUAAAUAUACGCUAAGAGAGAGUGUGUGAGAGAAUUUAUGACAGCAUUAAAUAGUCCAAAACAAACAUUCAUCACAUUCCAUGUCCAUUGACGAGAAUUUAGCAGCCUUGAGCUGAUACAUAAAAGAUUUUUCAGGCCCUGACAGCAAGUUUUUCAACAGCCACUGCAGUAUAGAACUAAAAAUUCGCUCUGUCAAAGUAAAUUUGUGAUUCCUUCUAUGAUUCUAGAUACUAAGUUAAGAAGAGUAUAACUGGUUUUAAGAAGAUUUUUUAAUCUGACACUUGGUCAUAACAGCCAACAGCCUUGGAGUGUGAACUGGAGACGUUAUAUACUUGAUCAUAACAGCCAACAAAUAGAUUUUAUAAAAAGGGUGUAAUCUGCAUUCUCUGUGUUUAUGAUCUCAGUGUCUUGAAGGAGGAUACUUUAGCUUCGGAUUCAGCAUUUCAUCCAUUAUCAGUCUUAAACAUGUGGAUAUGAUUCACGAAGUCAGGUUCUUAGCCAAGGCCACUUCCUGAUGUUUAGAGGUCGAAUCAUUAUAAUGCAGUGAAAUUUUAAACUUGUAGCAGUAAUUUUUUGUAGACAAAACGUUCUUGAAUGAGAUAAUUUUUCUGCCUGUAAUGUGAAUGUAGAUCCUAGAAAUUAUCUCUUGAAUAUUCAAUCUACAAAGAACCAUGAACAAUGUAUUACAAAGCCACAAACAAAAGGGGGAAAAAAAACUGGAUACUAGUAGUGUUUUUUUUAAUGUCAAAUUCAAGAAAUGUUAUGUAAAUACAGCAUCAGGAGCAAGCUUAAAAGUUCAAAUACAGAGGCAAAUAACUACUUUAAUCAUUCAUUACUAAUUACAUCAGAAGUGAAUCAACGAAGUGAAAUACAACUCAAUAAAAGAUGCAUUGUCCAAAUAGAAUGAAAUUAUAUAAUGCAGUUCACGUGAUCAGAUUUAGGAAUCACACAAAUGCAAGGAAAGGUAUAAUUAUUUCUUCAAAAUACCAACCAAGAAAAAGAAAAAAAAAUAAAAAAAAAAUUGCAGCCCCCUGUAUGCAGAAUGUCUGUAAAUAAUGCAAUCCAGGAUCAGAAUCAUCAGAAUCCCAAAACACUCACUUUUUGCAAUUGAAAGCAAGAGAAGCCUUCGCAAGCUUCUGUUUCUACCGUGAGAGUAAGCGGUAAGCCACUCACUCAAUCCUCAUCAACUCAUCCUUCAAAAAGCCUCUACUAUUCCAUUUGUUAUUAUUAUUAUUUAAUUAAUUUCACAAAUAUUAGGGGAGCAAAUGCGAUUCAUAAGUAGCAGCAGUAAAUUUAUUUUUUCUUUAAAUAAAAAAACAAAUAUCGAUCAUAAUCCAAAUCCCACAACACAAUUCAAAUCGUCGGAUGUCCAGAACCAUCAAGUUACAGAAAACUUCAUUUGACGAAUAUAAUGCAGGAAGAACGUUGAAUGUAAAGGAAAAUGCGCUUACCGUUGAGUUGAGCAGUAAAAGAUAUUUGAGAAUCCUCCCCUAGACGGCUUCAAUAUAUACAAAAUAUUUGAGAAUCCUGCACUUUGUUCGCGAUUGCUGAGGUGAUGGGUAGAUGCGUGGCAGAGCGAUGCCGGAGACGGUGGUGGAAGAGGGAAAAUGUUAGGGUGGAGGUGAAGGGGAUGACGCAGAGCAAUUAGAUUAGAGGUACUUGCGGUUGAGGAAAAGUGUCUAAUUAGAUAGCGAGAGAGGGCCGCUUACCUAGUUGACCCGGUUUUAAUUUUUUACCCGCUAGGAUCCGCGUACUAACCCGAAUAGGAGGUGAAAUUAUGGAAUUAGAAUUGUAAUUCUUAGGUCUUACCAAAGAAUUGAAUUUGUGGAAUUGAUGGCUCAUAGAAUUCAAAUUGAAUUCUAAUUCUCUCACAUAGAUAGCGUCCAAACCGAAGAUUUGGAAUUGAUGCUCCAAUUCUAAUUCUAAGCCUCCAAUUCUAUGGGAACCAAACACACCCUAAAUCUUGUUACUCAAUGUCACUGAACAUGGACAAUUCGCUUUUCCAUUUGGCUAAGACUCAUGAAUUCGGCAUUAAAUAUGAAUCAACAAUAAAUCAAGAAAUGACCCCUAUAUAAAGGACCACCACCAACCUCACAUCACUGCAUAAUAGUUGAUAGUUGACUCUUGAUAGGUAAAGCAAGAAACACCGGGCAGACCUAAUGGUCCUAAUCCUAUUCACCAUGAAACCCCACCAAAGCCACCAACCAUAUGAUAGGUGUCUUUGAUGUAUGUAUAAAGUAUUCAGGGUUGCAGGCAUAUGUUUGAUCUUUUGAUCCCUUGCAAUAGUAAUACCUAAUGGAACUGAAAUUCCCUUGUAAUAGUAAUACGUCUUGGUUUUGGAGUAUAUAUGUUUGAGUUUGAUGCGAUUGUGUAUGGUUGCUAUAUAUAUAUAUAUAUAUAUAUAUUGUAAUUUUUGUGGACAUCUAGAAAUCAAAUUAUAUUUAUACAUUGAGUUGAUACGCACGAAAAAACUUAUGCGUAUAACAAAAUUAUAUGAUAAUACACUAAAUUAUGUAAGAAAUAUAUAUACCAAACCUAUAAUCGCAUAAAAAUCUCAACUGUACUUCCCUGUACGUGUCUCCAUGCAAAAGGAAUUCUUGAACAUGGAGGAAAGCAACAUCACUCGACGGGUUUAUCAAACUUAGAAGAUUAGAUAAGCAUUUCCAUCAUUUGACAAAUUGUCUCGAAUUGAAAUUGUUGACAUUCAUGAACCCUGUAAAACCAUAUAUAUGCGUCCUGAAUUUGGAUAAGGCAGGCUUAGUAAGUCAUAGAUUAGACACAAGAGUGACGGAUUAUCCCUAAAUGAUACUAUACAAAUAUACAAUACAAGUUUCAAUCCAAACCCACUUUUUCUGCAUAUAUAUAUAUAUAUAUAUAUAUAUAUAUAUAUAUAUAUAUAUAUAUAUAUAUAUAUAUAAUCUUUAUUUGUGUCUUUUGUUGUAAAGGUCUUUAGUGCAAUUAUAGAGAGGCAGGCACAGUUGUGGACAUUGCGACUAGGGCAAAACUUUCAUUACUAAGCACAAAAUUGUGUAUCCUAAUUGGUAGUUGAGAAUUAUGAUUCGUGAGAGAUGUGACACAAUUAGUGACGUCUCAUUCUACUACAAUAUUGCCUGCCUUUACACAAAAGCCAUAAAAAAAGAUAGAUUAAAUCUUAUAUACACGGUAGGCUAAUACGCUAUCAUAGUUAGAUGAACGACACAUGAGCAAAUUUUGAAUUUUAAAUUUAAAUUUUACACAUGUGUCAUAUAUCUAACGGUGAUAGUAUAUACACUGACAAUAUAUAUAAGAUUAGUAGAGUUUUGGUCCAAAUAAAAAAAAGUAAAAUAGAAAAAAUAAUAAUUGUAUCGUAGUGAAGCAUAUACAGUUGACUAAGCAACUUAAUUUGGCCAUUAAGCUAGGAAGGUGCUUCUAUAAGGUGGAUUACGCACUUACAAAGUUCUUUUCCAUACUUGACUGAGCAUGAUUAUACAUAAUUAUAUGAGACUCAGCUAGAAUUUAUGAUUGUUAAUUAGGUGUAGCUGCCCUUUGGCCCUCUUUUGUCUUUAACAUUCAAAAAUUUACUUAUUACCUUUCUCCUUCUAUUAAUUGCAUUGUCAAACUCGUUUAUUAUUAUUAUUUUUUUUUUGCAAUUUAAUGAUAGUUUACCAACGCAUUUUUCAUGAACGCGCAUAUACUACUCCUCAUUAUCGCCCUAAGACAUGGUUAAUUAGCAAUAUUAAUUACCAAAAACGUGGCAUAUAUAUAUAUAUAUAUAUAUAUAUAUAUAUAACAGUUAUCAGUCACAUCUUCUGACUUCAAAAUGUGAACAUAACUUUUAUUCUGUGAAUUAGUCAAAUGUGUCCUUAUCUUUCCUCGCAGGCUCCAAGUAUACAUUUCCUGAUCAGCUAUGAUGUGCUUUCGGCCGAAACUGCAAUUGUUAUUGUGAUGCACACUUGGAUUUUGCUUAUGCUCCUACUGCUAUCAGCAAUAGAUAUAAAGUGAUUACCCUAACUGGAAAGACUUUAGGGUCCAUAUAUUUUGUCUCUUUUCUUGAAGAGGAAAAUUGAUUCCAAAUUUUAAAUCUUCAACAACAGACACAAAGCAGUGACCAUAUAUAGGAAUCAUGGUUCUUUUAUUUUAAGCACAGUCUAAUGUAUUAAAAUCCCAACUUCUUUUUUUUCUUGGCCUUACAUUGGCCCCAAUUUGAAGUGAUUGUACUAGUAUAUUCAUUUCAUUAUUUCGUUGCUUUUCCAAGUUCAACAUCAUAUGGGAGCCAAUUAGAAUCAUGAGUUUGGAUAAUCUAACUAAGUAGUCCAACUUUUCCAACUUUGUACGUGUCAAUAAAUUCAUGGAAAACUAAAUUUCUUGGUUGAUUGAUCAAGUUUGUGAUGAUCACAACACUAGCUUGAUCAAUGCUCUCUAAAGACUAAAGGUCAGCCAUUCAUAUAUUUGAGAGAUGUUUUUAUUAUUAUUAUUUUUUUGACAAUUGGCUUUAGAGACAAUUAUAUAUGCACCGCCCAGAGGACCAUGGCGGGUACAAACAAAAUCCACAAUAAUCAUUUUCCUAACUUUCCGACCAACACCUUGCGAUCACCGGCAAUGUAUUAAUCUGAACAUUGGGUAGAGGCAAAGGGGAACGACCCCAUUUGUUCGAAUUGCCUUUUGACAAAAUUGAUAUAAUAAUCUUUUCAUCAAAUUUGGAUUUCUGAAUUAAUUGAUGACACGAAUUUGGUUAAUUAGUCUGCCAAGAAAAAGAUAGCAUAUGGCCUUCAAAUUGAAGUUCAGAUGUUGUAAGAAUGCUCUCCUAAAGUAUUCGAUAAACAAGCAUACAUUGACCAUUUCCAAAACAUGGCAAAUUAUAAUGCAAAAAAUCUCCCAAGACUCCCUAACUUAUCUGUAUCCAACCAAAAAAAAAAAACCAUCGACUAUUAGCUAGACUACAAUUGCAAAAAACAAACUUACACGACUCUCUAACUUUGUUAAGGCACCAAAAGAAAAAUUGAAAAGAUCAACUGUCUCUUCAUUUGCCGCCACGCCAUAUUCACCAAGAAAACUACUAUUGCUUACACGUUUUACAAUCUAUUUAAAACUUUGGCGCCGCCGCAGCAUGAUAAAUUGUUGUCUUAAUUAUAUUGCUUCACAGGGAAAAGGGGAAAAAAUGGACAGUGUUAUCAUGAGCCUGUGAUGUGUUCUAGCGUAGGGUUCCAUUAUGUUCAUGCAUCACAACAAGAAAUACAGGCGUUCUAUUGGGAAUUUUCCCAUGAGAACAAAAGAAAGAUUAACUGAAAAGCCAAGAACUAUGACUUUUACGAUAACAACAAAGUUGAAAAAGUCUGGAGGGUCAACAGGUUAAGAACUAAAAAGCCCUUUUGAUUUUUGACAAGGUGAACAGCAUGGUCAACUACAAAUGAGGGCCGUCCCACCAAUGUAAGCUUUUCUUAUAGGAUUUCCAAGGAGGACACUAUCUAAUUUACGUGCUAUCUAGCUAAUUAUGCCGACAGGGCACGUGAGAUUGAGGCGGAUAAUUUCUAAUCAAGUGCCAGUUGGAUAAUGCUUCAUUUUUUGUGGAAAAGAUCUGAGUGUGAUGCACCGUGCGGUCUAAUCAGAGCCACUUGUCGAUUUGCGGUUUUCUUAUGUUGCGGUCUUGGAUUGAUUUUACGUUAGCAAAAUGUGGAAAAACACUAAGGAGAGUACGUGUGUGUGUGUGUUUGUUUGGCAGCACUAGUGUGAUUUAGAAAAUUAAAAUUAUACUAAAUAAGGUAUCAGUGAUAGAGAUGGGUAGCGAUGAUGGACGACGGAAGUUACCAAUAGUAGGUGACGAGUGGUGGAAGGAGGGGGGAGAGGGGUGUUUUGGAGAAAUACAAACAUUUUUUUUUUAAAACUGCUAUAUUGAAUUACAAUAAAGUUUUAGACAAUUUUACUUAAGUCUCUCUUCUCUCCCUAUGCUUCUUAAAUCGUACUCUUUUACUAACAAAAAUUUUAAAAAAAAGUUUUAAAUAGACAUCCAAAAAUACAUUAUAUAAGCGAAUCGAACAUUUUCGCUACCCAAAAUAACUAUUGUGAACACAGUUUACGAUAUUAUUAUUAUUUUUUGUUCAAUAGUACUAAAAGACAAUCCUGGUCUAACAAUAUUGGUUUUUUCAUGUUAGGAAAUUGGCUUAAUUUCUUUUAGGUGAAUUUCUUAUUUUGUGUGGAAGUAACUAGUUUCCUAAUUGGAUUUAGUUACUUGAAGUAGUAGUCAAGUAAAUUCCUAUUUAGCUAGAUACUAUUUUCUACUCUAUAUGAGUUUAGGAAAUAGUAUUGGUUUCCAAUUGUUAUUUGGUUUUUUGGCACUAAUGUUCUCUAUAAAUAGAUAGAUUGGCAUACUACAAAGACACACAAGAAAGGAGUGAGAGAGUUCUUAGUGGGUGAGAGGGUUAUACAAGAGUUGGGGCUUGGGAAUCAAGUUGUAAUCUUGUGGUGUUUUUCUCAUAGUAAGAACAAGUUUUUCUCUCUGUGAAUGUAGGUUUGGUGAUUAAGCCGAACCACGUUAAUUCUUGUGUGUUGUUCAUCGUUCAUGCUAGAUAUUGUUUUCUAUUAAAUUGUUGGUCUUUUUCUUUUCAAAUAAUUGGCCUGAUACCCCAACAUUUCACAUAGCGAGAAUUUGUGUGAAUCUGCUACCAUUUAUAAUAGUCGAGGUAACUAUAGGAAAAGAGUAAUGGCUUGCAGUAUGCAAGCUUAAUAUUAGAUAACACAAUCCUUGUUUUUGCAAGUUCUAGUUAAUAGUUCCGGUUUGCACUCCAACUGCAAGAAUUUUAGCAUUUUUAAAAUGCAUCCAGGAGGGAACUACAAGAAUCUUUUCUUGACAAUGUUCUGUUUCAGCCCAUGUACGAGGAAUUUUUCAUACAGAUUACAUAAAGGGCUUAUUUACUUUCGCAAAUCAUCCUCAUUUCUCGACCAAAGCUAGCAAAAAAGAAUGUCGCCACGCGAAAGGAUCAGUAGUUGGUUGCCUUUAGUGAGUUCAGUUAAAGCAUUGUGCCAUUUGACGUGGAAAAAGAAUCUACAAGGGCUUAAAGUAGUAAGGUUUUAUCUGGUUCCCAGGUUGAGAUUGGCCCUAACACGAUGAGCAGAAAAAGUUGGUAAAGGACUUUGGAUGAAAUGACUCAUCAGCUGCCCCUUGCAAAUUCCAAUCCACUACUAGUUGAAGUAGGAGGAAUGCAAUACUUGACUUGAAUUGGGCUAAUAAGUGCUCAUUCGGACUUUUUUUUGCUAACUAAUUAAGUUAAAUAAACAACAUUUAUUGUCUGUCAAAGUAUUAAACUCGACUCGACUUGAUUAGUAUUAACUUUGAAAUCGAUAUAUGUAAAAAAUUUAGACUAUUCAAAAGUGGACUUGAUUAGCAUAAACACAUAUGAAAAAUGUAGACUGUUAAAUCAGUUUGAUAAUAAAAACUCAUUUUAGUUCAACUUAAUGAAUAAACGGUUCACAUUUAAGCAUAAUUUUAAGGGAAAAUGGUUUGUUUCAUCUCUCACAUUUUACAAAAAUAUUUUUUUUCAUCCCUCACUUUUAAAAUAAAACAAAUUCAUCAUUGACAUUAAAAAACUGAAACUAUUACAUCCAUGAAGUCAACUUUCAAUCCGAAUCUAACUACCCAUCAAUCCUAUUACAAAUUUUGAGAAUAUAGUUAGUGGCAUAUCAUUUGGUUCACUCAACUUAAUAUUCAUGUGAAAUUUAAUGAAUCCAAAAAGGAAAAAUAAAAAAAAAAUUAUAACAUAAAAAAAGAUUAAUCUUUCCUACAUUGUUAUUGUAUAUACUGACGAGUCUAGAUACUUGUCACAUCAUUUCAAUUUAAAUUUAAACACCCACCUUUUAUGUAUGGUAUACAUCUAGACUCGUAAAUGUAUAUACUAACGGUAAGAAACCUUACCAUUCCAAGUCAAAAAAAUGGCCUGUUUAUGUUAUAAUUUUUAAUUUUUUCCUUUUUUUUGGUUCAAUAAAUGUCAUGUGAAUAUGAUCGAGUUGAUCGAGUGAUCUAUCAAUUUUAUCCUCGAAAUUUAUUAUUGGGUUACUAGAUGGUUUGAUUCAUAGUAAUAGUUGGAUUCAGGGAUGUAAUAGUUUUAAUUUUAAAAUGUUAGGGAUGAAUUUGCUUUGUUUUAAAAGUGAGGGAUGAAAAGAAUAUUUUUUUAAAAUGUGAGAGAUGAAACAGAUCAUUUUCCCUAAUUUUAAUUAAACUUGUGAAAAAUAAGUAAAUAAACUUAAACACUAAAUUGUUCAUUUGAUUAAAUUUGGACUUUGCACAAUGCUUGAUGCUCAUAAGAGGAUAUGUCCUUAAAUUUUUAUAAAGGGAUGGAACAAAUAUUAUGGUAAUCAGUAGUAACUCUAGCUAGUUUUAAGUUGAGCAUUCCCUAGGACCUUUGCUUAUCCGAAUUUGUAAGCGUCAAAUCAUAUAAAAGUGUUUGAAACUUUGAAUCAAUCAAGAACUUUAGUAGGAGUUCUUGAGAGACUAAAAUCUAUCUACCUGUAAAUUAAUAUUAAAAGAUAAGCUCUUCAAUUAACACAGUACGAAUGAUUACAAUUUUUUUCGAGCAAACGAACAAUCUGAUGCAGGAGUUUUGUCGGAUUGGUACGUGGGUUAAAUAAAUAAUCGUACCUCUUAACUACAUGUUCUCCCCCACUAUUCUCCGUUUCUCUCCUACUCUCCUGAUGAAUCUUUCCGAGUUCUUAUAUAUGUAGCCAGAGCUGUCAGAUUAAUCUUCCACCCAAUUAACCACUGCACAUAUCAUUUCUUCCAGUUAGCUCAAGCUAUCAGGGUUCCUUAGUCUUGUUCUCAAUAAUAUUUCGCCCUCCAUUUUUCCAUGGCUUGUUCUAUCAUUGCAAGGUUAACCGCCCUACCGUAUUUCUUCAUGAUCAUUAUUCUCUUUGCUUGCUUCUUCACUUGUGAUUUGGAAGCACGGGUUCUUGUGGCUGAUCAUCACGAGGCUAUUUCCACGAUGCAUGAAAAGUUGAAACCUGACAGCCAAGUUCUUCUGAUGAGAAUAGGCUUCAGCCCUUCACAGCUUGAAUAUUACAGAAGAAGGUCACUUAAUGAUAUUGAUCGAGUGGCUCCUGGUGGACCAGAUCCUCAUCACCAUGCGUGAUUAUCUACAAUAUCCUUUUCUAUAUCUUUUGUCAUUUUGUUUUUUGGCCCAAUUCUUGGGUUUUCAGUGGAGGGUUUGGCAGGAUUGAUAUGUUGUUAGAGAAGAAGAUCAGAAUAUUGGUCGUGCAUGUUUGCUUUUCUUGAUGAACCACCGUUCAUCAUCGUUUCGGCUGAAAUCGGGUAUAGCAAAUAUUUGCGCGCAACGCUCAUUUUAAUUCAUUGUUGUCAUUUCAAGAUUCUGUCCCUACAAUGUUUCUGAUUAGAUCUUUCUUCUUUUUGUGUGUGUGCGCGUGCGGUUUUUUUCUUUUUCCUUUUUUUACCUUAUUUUCCUUUGUCUUUACUUUGCAUGCAGUCAUGUGUACAUUUCAGUGAAGAAAUAACAAUAAUAACCUUUUCUCUCUCUCUCUCCUUUUUUUUUUUGAUAGAAUGGGCGAGAUAACAAUAAUAACUUCAUUUUAUUAUAGAAGAAACAUCUCGAGAGAGUCCAAUAUAUAAGUCAAUAAUUUAAUUUUGAUUUAAAAACUUAAGUUAUUAGGCCCCAAACUCUUACUUACAUAUUAAGUGUUUUUUCUCCGUCUCUCGAAUCAAUAUGGGACAUAAUCCUUUACUUAUAAAUCUAAUAAUUUUGCAUGGAACAUUUAUGGAAUCAACAAUUUAUUGUGGUAAAAAUGAACCAGAUCAUAUAUAAUUGUUUUUUGUACAAGGAUAGGAGAGGACUUAAUUUGGGUUCUCUACCUUGUGUGCUUCUAUGCAGUUAAUCGUGAACUUUAUGAUUAACAGUAUAUGAAUAUCACAUUUUCUAAGCUCACGAGAGCCAAAAAGUAUUUUUGAAGUAAUUAAAAAGAUUUAAUCCGAAAACUCAUACCAGAAGAAAUAGAAACAACAUACAGAAAUCCACAUUUCUCUCCAGAUUGAGAGCAAACUAUACAAAAUUAAGUUGUCACUAAUCUUCUAACUAACAAAAUGUCAUUUUAGUCAAGUAAACAAAUUGGAAUAUCAGAACUCAUAAUAAUAUACAUAAUCUGUUUCUUUUAUUUGUAAGAUUUAAACUAUACAUGAUAUCUUAGUAAAGCGCUUAUAACCUGGUCAAUCAAUCUCUAAAUGAAUUCAAUCAUCCAACAAGUCCAUCUACUUACAGCCAACCAGUACUCCAGUUUAAUCAUCCUAAAAUGAUAACUGGUUAAUGAAACAAUACUAGUUUUCCCUUUGAAACUAGCAAAUUCCACAGCCAAUGUUGACUAAUUAAUUAAUACAUUUGUUUUCCUCCCAUCAAAUUGAACAGGUUCUACUUUGGUCGUACAAAUCCACAACAGAUGCCUCUAUUAAUCUCGUACAGUUUGCCGCAUUGAUUACAAGAACGAUUUUUGAUGUGUAAACGUGUCCCUUUUGCAUGGAAGAAGAAACAUGACUUAGCUGCAGUUAGAUGCAUUAUCUCUCAAGUUUCUCCAAACUUGAUAAGGUAAAACCAUAAACGGAUUCUUUUAAAAGUUUAGAUACUAAAAAAAAAAAGAAAAAUUGAUUCAAUUUAUAUUACUAUAUAGUUCUUAUCAGUAAAUAAAUCACCUUUACGCAGGUUGUCCAUGUCAAUGCCAAGUUGUUAAUUUUAUUUUUACUAGGCACGUAUAAAAUUCAUAGCAUUAAUUUCUUGAUACUGCUGCAAUUUAUUCCUGUCACAAUAAGAAGCUAGGGAGGCCACAUCUAUGGCAAAGGCACUAGAAUGGCUUCAUAAAGAUUAAAGAGCUUCUUCUUGAAGAACGUUUGAUGAAGAUCCUAACUAUAUAUGCUCAAAACGAUAAGCAUGGUGUUGACUAGUGUAAAUGGAUAGAUUCAGAGAGUUUCAGCCAAUUGGAUGCUCUUGUGAGAGAUAAGCUAAACAAUUUCAACAUGAUCAUAAUUAAAUGAGGGACAAAGUCAAAUCCAUGAGUAUAUAAGGGAAAAGUAUAUACAGUACAGGAGUUAUAUUUGUUAACACAAAAACCCCCCUUUAACUUAGUCAGAUAAUCAAGGUGCUUUAUCCAUUUGUGACUUGUACCCUAUGUCCUAAGUGAUUCUUGUCCUUUUGCACCAGCCAAAAGUUGAUGAAAAAUGAUUGGAUUGGUAGCUUUUAAAUGUGGUUUCGGACAUUCGAAAAGUUGCUAAUAUUUAAUCAUAUGGACAGCAAAACUUAGGGUAAGAGAAAAAAAAAUAACGAAAGAAAGAUGGCAGGAAUUCAUUUUCUGCAAGCAGGGAUGUGGAAUGGGGACUGUGAUUGUUGUUGCCAGGGGGAUAGUGGAAGAGAAAACAAAUAUUAGUGGCAUCUACGCAUAUCUUGCCAAUGCUAGGUAAACAAUUGCAGGAGGGUUGUGAUAGUUAAGCUUAAUCAUAGAGAUCUCAAAUCCUCAAUCUGAUUUAUAAAUUUAUGAGUUUUUUAAUGAGUAAUAAAUGUUUUUGAGGCCCUUGAUGGAUCACUUUCAAUCAUAUAAUAAGUAGCAAAGAUCCAUGCUAGGCAUGGAUCAAUACUUUAUCAAAAGGUUUAGUUGGGAAAUUAUUCAUGUAUGACACACAUACAGUACAACAGAUAGAAUAAAAUUGAAAAAAAGAAAAACAAAGGUGAAGCACCAUUCUAAAGAUAACAAUGAUCCAUGUGACUAUAAGUCAUAUACAAUGUCCCAAACAAUUUGGCAUUGAUGUUUAAGCAACAUAUUUGCACUACUUUUGGUCUUCUCUUAAAAUGGGAUGAAUUGAUAAAGGGAGAAAAUAAGUGUAAUAUGAAUUUAUAAAUGAGAGUGAUCUUUACUCAAUACGAACUUAGCGGCGCUAGAUUUAAAUUUGCGUAUCUUAAAUUUCAUCCCUUACCAGCUAAACAUAAAAAAGAAAAAAAAAAGUGUAAUGUGGUAUUACCUAUUUGUGCAAUUAUUGUUCAACCAUGCAAAUGUUUAAACCAACAAGUAUCAAGUUUGUUUGUGCAUAUCUACCUGCAAAAUAUUGCUGAGAAAUUAUCUGACCCAAAAAAAAAAGAAAAAAUGAAAUCAAUAUGGGCUAGGCCCAGCCCAGUUACUAUUCCCUGUAAGUGGCUCCCAACUUGGAUAGGACCACAAAACAAAAAGCAACCUACAAUUCUCAUCUGUUAUCAACGCGCCACCAUGGACGCGUUGGUCAACCAAAAAUCUUCCCACCCCAUUCCUUACUGGACCCAUCAUCUAACAAUCUCAACCGUCAAAUUCUCACCCCGUUGUACCGCAGCAGAACUCCCAACCGUUAGAUGAGCGUUUAAAUAUCACGCUCCUCAUCAGCGCGUGAAAUUCCUCGUCCACUCCCCUCACCCAGCUCUCUCACUGUCCUUCUUGGCUUCUUCUUUCUCAACUCACCCCAGAUUUCUUCCCCAGGAUCAUAGUUAGGAAAGAGUGUGAGGAUUCAUACUCAAGCUGUGUGUGAUAGUGUGUGAAAGAGAGAGAUCUCGAGAAAAAGGUAUGGCUUCUGUUCCUAAUUUAACUUUUGGGAAAACCCCUCAAGGAUUUCCCUGUAGUUAUUGUUUAUGUGUAUGUGUAAAAGGGUUUAAUUUAACUUUAGCAGUGUAGAGGACCCAAAAAUAUAGAAUUUGGGUUCUUGUGAAAUGGGGUUAAUUGUAUUUUAAGAUUGUAGAGAACCAAAGUAUAGAAAUAGGGUUUCUUGUAAAAUUGUGGGCUUUUGUGUUUAUGCAUGCAGCAGCUAAUUUCGAGGUAAAAGAUUGAAUUUUUCCCGGUGAAGAAAGUGAAGCUUGGGAUUUAUGUGUGUGAGUUGUGUUUAUGCAUGUGCUUUUUGUAUGUAGAUUAGUUGAAAAAGAUUAAAUUUCUAGGGUUUUGGGAGGUGGAUAAAUGGCUUCUGGAACAACAGUUGGUGGUGGAGACGGAGAAAAAGAAGGGUCUAAAGAGAAGCAGAGGUGGGCUGAAGAGAGCAAGGUGUAUAAAAGGAAGUCUGUCAAAGGGUUAAAGGAUAGUAGUGACAAGAACAACAGUUAUGGUGCCCAGCUGGGGCAAAGUCAAACUGGGAAACUUGGGAGUGAAGAUGGGAAUCUGUUGGAAGAACCUGUGUUUGGUGUGGCGUCCGGUGACUCAUCGAGUCGUCCACUGGGAGAUCGUGAAGUGUCUGGGAGAAAUGGGGUGGGGAAAGGUGGGUUUCUGAGGCAAGAAAAUAAGGUCACCAUCAAUUUGGCGAUGAAGUCGAAAAGGGAGGCACGGGAGCUGAGGAAAAGGCUCGAGAGCGAGUUGGACGAGAUUAGGAGAUUGGUGAAAAAGAUUGAAGGGCAGGAGGGGAAAAAGAGCAGUAAAGCUGGACGUGGUGUUGAUAAUGGUGGGAAGUUGAAACGGGUCCAUUCCGAGGUGGAUUCUGUUGGAACGCCUCGCAUUUCCAAGCCUUUGCAUCAGUUGAGCGUAUCAGUGGUGGAGAACAGCAAUGACAAUGGGGAUAAAGAGAAACGGACGCCCAAGGCAAAUAAAUUCUACAAGAAUACAGACUUUUUGCUUGCAAAGGAUAAGUUUCCUUCUGCAGAAGGCAACAAGAAGUCUAAAUCUGGUGCUGGGAAGAAAGCUGGAGGGGGUGAAUCAGGACAUGGGUUUGUUUCAGGGAAGUUUUCUAAUCAAAUGUUGAAGAAUUGUAGCUCUUUGCUUGAUCGAUUGAUGAAGCAUAAGCAUGGAUGGGUGUUCAACAAACCUGUUGAUACUGUGCAUCUUGGUUUGCACGAUUACUUUGACAUUAUUAAGAAUCCAAUGGAUUUGGGUACUGUAAAAGCUAGGCUUAGCAAUAACGGGUAUAAAUCUCCUAAGGAGUUUGCAGAGGAUGUGAGACUUACAUUUCAAAAUGCUAUGACAUAUAACCCUAAGGGGCAAGAUGUUCACGUGAUGGCUGAGGAGCUAUUAAAGAAUUUUCAGGACAAAUGGGCUGCUAUUGAGGCGGAAUAUAUGCAUGAGAUGAUGCAUGGCCCGGAUUCUGAAGUGGGUUUACCGACUCCUAAAUCUAAGAAAGCUCCUCCAGCAGUAAUGGAACCUCCUGAAAUGAGGACUUUAAGCAGGUCAAAGUUUAUUAGCAAUCCUGUUGAUCCCAAAACCAAAACCAUGAUUUCUGCUGGUUCAGGGAGAACUGCAGCCCCAAAAAAGCCAAAGGCAAAAGAGCCCAAUAAAAGGGAAAUGACAUACGACGAAAAACAAAAACUUAGCACAAAUUUGCAGAGUUUGCCUUCUGAAAAGCUUGAAAAUGUUGUGCAGAUUAUAAAGAAGAGGAACCCUUCUCUGUGCCAAAAUGAGGAUGAGAUUGAAGUUGACAUUGACAGUGUUGAUACUGAAACUCUUUGGGAGCUGGAUAGAUUUGUAACAAACUUCAAGAAGAGUCUGAGCAAGAACAAACGAAAAGCUGAGCUUGCCAAUCAAGGAAAGGGAGAAGCAGCCCGGAGUGUUCCAGAAAAGGUAAGCUAUUGAAAUUUCUAUUUGAUGCCUUUCUGUUGUUAAUUUCGGUGGUUAUAGGCACUUAGCUUCCGUUUUCUGCAGGACCUUGCCCCAGCUGCAGCAGAAACUCUGAAAGAAAGGAAGAUGGGUAAGCUAUCUGAGCUCAAGUCUCCUUUGCUCUUGAAAUAACGGCAAACUUGGUUUUCAAACAUAGUGAAGUUAAAUGUGUUUUCUGAACAGAAGCUAAGAAAAAUUAUUCAUCUCAAACUGAAGUGGAAAAGAAGAGAGAUAAUGCAAGUCGAUCAACUAACUCAAGCGGCUCGAACGCGGACUCGGGAUCUUCCUCAGGGGGUAUUGCUAAUUCUUACUUUGUAUUUUCUGUCUGGAGAUUCAUGAUUACAAACUUAUCUCCAAAGUGAGAGAAUGUUACUGAAUUGUCUUCUCACUUUACAUUUUUUGGCAGACUCUGAUAGUGGAAGUGCUUCAGAUGGAUCCGAUGCAUGACAUUGAACUAGGAAUUAGAGUUACUUGUCAAUGUAAGAUAAGUUUCUUUGUGGAUUUAUUUAUUUGUCAUUUCAUGGAUCGUGGAAUUGAAUCUGCUUUUAUUGAUUUCUCUUGUUUCCUUGCUCAUAUUUAAUUAAUUUUCUGUUAUUUAUCGAAGCACGAACCUGUUGUUGUUUAUGUUAGCCUUUUCUUUAAUGUUUCUAAUUCUCUUUGUGAAUUUUGCGUGUUGUUCACUUUUAUGGUUGCUGGCUUUACUUGAGUUUAACUUAAAACUUAAGAAUGCUCAUUAAGAUCUAGAUAUGAUAGUUAAGCAUGUAAAAAGUGCACUUGUAAACAAUAAAUGUCUUAAUUGCUUUAUAAUUUCCAAAUUACUGGGAAGUUUGUAGAUCAUGAGAAAAGAUGAUUGUGCUCUUUUGCUCUAUUCAGCAAUGCAUGGUAGUUAAACUUUUUUUUUUUUCGGAGCAUAUAUUGAGCGCAUCGAAUUUGUCUAUCUACAAUUUGAAAGUGGCAUUUUCCUAGACAAUAAUACUGCAGUAUCUUGUUUAUGCUUUAGAAGCUGCUGUUGACACUCCCCAAAUGUUGAUAAUUCUGGAGUGCCUGUAAAGCUGUCAAAGAUUGAGGGAAGAGGAUAGAGAUUUCAUUAAAUUCUUUGUGAGUGGAUAUUAACACAAGUGUGAGAUAUGACUUAUCAAACAAAUUAUUGUGACUUGUACAGUUUUUGCUUUAAGAGGAAGUGCUGGUCAUUGUUAAACAGUCUGCAUGACUUUACGUGUGAAAUGACUUUCCUUAACUAGUUAAAUGAAAAGAGGGAAAGGUAGGAAUAUGCAAAACUUAAGCAUGAAUGCAAGUGUAACAAACUAGAGUUCAGCUAAAUAUAGAUAUGUAGGUUUGUGGUAUAAUGAUGGAAGCUUUAUUAAAUUUACUUCCUUUGUUGGCUCCAACACUGUGGCACUUCUUUUACAUUUUUUAAACUGGGAAGUUAGUUAUGGAGGCUGUAGAGAUCAACAUAAGUCCGUUGUUCCUUGAGCUUUAUAAUGGUCGAUCAGCAUUUUCGGUAUAUAUCAUCUUUCUAUCUUAGUAUCUUCCAUAAGCGCUCAAAGAAUCCCAAAUGUUUAAUCAACAUAUACACCAUGUGGCUGCAAGCGCUUAUUUGAGUGCUCUCCUUUAGCUUUAAGAUAGCACGAGCUUGUGAACUAAACCAGUGAUCAAGGUGCAGUGAUAUUUAUGAGCAUCAGAUCUAACAGGUGUAGGAAACACUCUAUUAUCAAGCUAUCAAGCAUUCAGCUUUUUCUUAUUCUUUCUGUACUAGAGUGUUGGUAAGAACUUGUACCUACUGUUAGGAAUUAUCUAUACUACAUUAGUUUCCAUGUUUGUAAUGCCUACUUUCGCAAAAGUCAUCUUAGGUGAAAGUAGUGCAGUUAGAACGUAAUACCUGUAGGUCGAGUAAUUUGGUCCUCUCUGUCUCUCUCUCACACACACAAAGCACACACUUUUCUUUUUUAUUGUUUCUCUUUCUGUUUUGAUUGUCAUGGUUAUGGCGAAUGCCUGAAUGUUAAUUUGAAGUUUGGCUCGUUUUUGUCUUCAAUAAUUCCAACAGGAUUGUGGCCUGAUUGAUGCUGCUAUUCCUUUUCAGGUCUCAUUUUGUUUUAACGAAGAAUCGUGCUCAAGUCUAAUAUUCAUGUUUCUACCAUCUUGCCUAGAUUUAUUGUUACAAACCUGUGGCCGAGCUUGACUGCAUAUCGAUCUUCUCUUGAAACAAUGGUCUCCAUCGACAGUAAGCUGUUUUAGGUGAUGGUUUUAGCAACAGAUGUUUCUGGACAACCUGGAGAAUGAUGCAGAUGCUUCUUUAUUGUACAUUGUUGUAGCUUUUGUACAUAGCUAACUACUGCUGGCCAGUGUUCUGUGAAUUUGUCUGGUGGUUUACAGCAGCGUUGGAUAAAAUAUUUCGCAGUUAAAUGCAAUUGUAUGUAUGUAUUAGUAAUAGUGGUAUGCUGUCGUUGACCUAAGAGGCAUUCUUUGUGUAAAGUCUUGUUCUUGGUCUUGGAUCUUUCUUGAUAAGUUAAUUUCAUAUUGCCCUUAGCUUUACUGCUUUUACUAUCAAUACUCCUAUAAUAGCUCGUUUCUUGCUAACUCCAAUCUAAAUUUUGGCGUUCCCUAGAUUGAGUGGUACCAAAACUAAGGGUAAUCCUUAAAGUUUUGUUCAUGAUAUUCCUGGUUUGCUUCCUUAAACCCCAUCUGUCAGUCCCUCAUCCCCUCCGUUGUGUGGGAAAAGAAUGGAAAGCCCCCAAAUCCAGAAUGGUGGACGUUGCAACAAGCUAUCCUGCGUUUCCACCUUGAAUUCUCCAGCUGUUUGUGUCCCUAGAGCUUAGUUUAUCGCUGCUCAUUAUGUGGUAUUUGCAAUAUUAUUUACACCUACCAUAACACUUAAAACUUCUUUAAUUGAAAUAAAACUUAGUACCAUACCAAUUUGUCAAGUAGUAAUAAUCACGAGUAUUGCUAGAAAAAGCGACUUAACAUAUAUAAACAUAUCUCUUGGUACAUAGUAUUUCGUAUUAUAAUUCAUUACUCAAACUUAGUACGUCAUGUUUCAUAAUCUAAAUCAUUAUUCAACAUUCACAAGUAUUGUAUCAAUCGUAUUGUAUUAUCAAUCAUCAUGCAAUAUAUACAAUGCAUAAACUAUGUCAUGGGGUGUAAUUACGAGAAUUAGCUUAGACAUGAAUAUGCCUCCAAGAUCGAUCUCUGAGUUGCGGCGAGGUGACUUGAAUUUCCCCAUUUCUUGAUUACACCAACCCAUGGCUCGCAAUUUUUUUGAAUUGCUGUUCCUCUUAUUCUGCGCGCACCUUGCCGGUUGAUCUUCGUCAUGGCCCGCAAAUUGCAUCCUGUAACAGCGCUUGCCCACUAUUCCCUCCCAGUACCCUCCUCAGUCCUCACUGCCUUAUUUGAAGGAAAUGCAUCCGCUAAAACAUAGAACCAUGCUCUCCACUACUUUAAAAUGCACAUUUUGGUCAAACACUUUCCCAACACACAACCCUUUUAAUCCAAGAAAGCCUUUUUCUGCUUCUGCUGUAAAAUAUCCCAAACAAGAAGAAACGCCUGCACAAAUAGUACACUGGUCCGGUCUUAACAACUGGAGAAGUAGCCCUCUUAAUCGCAACCGUUUCUGGGGAGCCAAUGGCCCACAAACAUCCCCGAUACAACCAUCAUUCUCGAAUUCUGGAGAAACCGGCGACAGUGGUUCAAUUUUAUGUUCAAUUGACUGGGGCUGUUGCUCUUCUUUAGCAGAGAUGGGGGCUGUGGUGCUAUCUACAGCUGACCCUCUUCAAAAAUCAAAGCUUUCCCACUUGGCUUACUCCAGAUGGUGCCAGGAGAGCCUUCCUGUUGGAGUCUGUGAGGCACCCUCUAAGCCUGCUCGUCCCCAGAAUCCGCAACUGGUUUGUUUUCUGAGAGUCCUUUUGGCCAUUUUGGUUACGGAGACAUUAAAAAUUUGAUCUUUUUGUUGGAGUUUAAGAGUUAAUGUGAGGAAAAGCAGAUAUGUUUGUGUAUGAUAGUCAUGUUCUUGAUUGAAUUGGUGGGAUUGGAGUUGGAGUUUGUGCUUGUGCUUAGAUGGUAAUCCAUGUGUUUGGUGAAUUUGGUAUGCUGGAGAGUUUAGGAAUUGUCUUUAUUGAAGCUUAGUUUCCUCGUAGAGAAUUGGCAAUGUAAAUGUUGAAACAAAACAAUAUUAUUAUGGGAGCUGCAUGAAAUGCUCUCGCUGUUAAUAAUUGACACCACUCUCUUUGGGUUUGUUUUAAUUUAGUAACUAUACUGUUUAUUAGUGUGACAAGCUGAGUACACUGGCUGCUCUUAGGACUGGUUUACUGUAUGAAAAUGCAGGUAUCUCCAAAGGAGAUUCCAUCCCCAAAACACUCUGGUUUGCCUCUUAAUGCAUAUAUGCUGCAUAAUCUAGCUCACGUGGAGCUAAAUGCGAUUGAUUUGGCUUGGGACACCGUUGUUCGCUUUUCUCCUCAUUGUGAGCAUCUUGGAGAGGGAUUUUUUGCUGACUUUGCUCAUGUGGCUGAUGAUGAAAGUCGACAUUUUGCUUGGUGUUUACAGAGAUUAGAAGAGCUUGGAUUUAGGUUGGUAUGGUAUUUUUGUUUUUUGUGAUAAUUGUCUUUGUUCAUAUAGUGACUAACAGCCUCUAUCGUUCUUCUUCUUCUUCUUUUCUUUUUUUUUUUUUCGCCCCGAGCAGCUAUGGGGAUAUGCCAGCUCAUAAUUUGCUCUGGAGGGAGUGUGAUAAAACAUCAGAUAAUGUUGCUGCACGUCUGGCUGCAAUUCCACUUGUCCAGGUACUCUGUUGGAUGUAUCUUUUGCAUCUUUAGUAUCAUUUCAAAUUCAGAUGCUUAUGGGAUUAUGAUUUUCCAAAAUUAUUUCCGAUGUCCAUAACAGCUGUACCUGAAUGUAUUUCUCUUCUUUCAGAGUGUUCUAUGAAGAAAGUCUCAUACUGGAUAAUAUUAAAUGCCAAGACAUGUUUAAUGCUGCCUAACUGUAAGAAAGUUGUCGGGUUCCUAACACAAAAAGGCUAUCUAAUAUGGUCUUUGUGUCCUUACCAGAGAAGUUUCCCUUCCCCAACAGAAGCCUUAGGUGGCUGUGAAACUAGCUGCAUAUUAUUGCCCUAGGUCCACUCAACUAUUAGAAGAGCACUAGGGCCCCUGAAAGAGCUACUAUUUAAUCCCAAACUGCUCCCGACUCAGCAGUCUGGUAGAGAUGAAUUGCGAUGGAGUAGCAAUACCCUACCCUUUUUUUUUUGCGGAUUUCUAAAUUGACGGUUGAAACAAAAAGAGCAAGCUGAUUGACUUAAAUAGGACUAGUUCCACAUGGCAUGAUUCCAUAUUGAUUCCAACGAAGAGAAAUUUUCCCAGUUAGAUAUGCAGUUAGGAUAACGAAUGGUUCACAUCUUCUGUUCUGAUGUUCUAGGAGGCCAGAGGACUUGAUGCUGGGCCUCGGCUUGUGCAGAAAAUGGUUGGAUUUGGUGAUCUUAGGACUUCAAAUAUUGUGGCUAAGAUUGCCGAUGAAGAACUUGCGCAUGUUGCAGUUGGUCUUUAUUGGUUUCUUUCAGUUUGCCAGAAAAUGGGCCGUGCGCCUUGCUCUACUUUUAAAGGUCUAACACAGUUACACUUAAUUUAAGCAGACCUGUUGCAAGUCUUUCUCUAAAUAUUGUGUUACUUAUGUGGCAGUCUUGCUCAAAGAGUACAAUGUGGAGAUAAAAGGACCCUUCAAUUAUUCAGCUCGAGAUGAAGUUGGAAUUCCUCGAGAUUGGUAAGUGUGGGAAAAUUUCCCUUCAUUGAAUCCAAUUAACUUAAUGGGAAGCAGAACAAAUAAUUUUACUUGCUGUACAGGUAUGAUCCUUCAUUUUCAAGACAAGGACAUGGGAAAGACGGGCUUUCUGAGGUAUUUAAUUUGAAGCUUCAAUCUUUAUCAGGAAACUGAAAAUGCAUCUAUUUGAAGCAUAUGCUAUCACCUUUCUAAGUUUGUUAAUCGAAACCGCCUGCAGGUUUACGAUAGGUUAGCAUGCAUAAUUUCUAUGGAACAAGAAAACUCAAAGAUGGACGCGUCUCGUGGAUGAAUCUUACGUUAAGAAGCUGUAUAUAAUCUAACUUCAUGAAUGUCAAACCUCAAGUGGAACAGCAAAAACUUCCAUUGCCCUUCUAACUGGAUGGUGAUUAUCAAUCUUCUCUAGGAAAGCUGCCCUGCAAGGUCAUUGGUCUGGUUGUGAUGAAUUAACUUAGCUUCUUAGUGUUUUAUAAUUCCUGGUCCAGGAUUCCCAUGAUAGCACCAGCACAACUCAAAUCAAAGACAUCCUUGCAGGUUCCCUUCUCUUGGGGGGUUCUUUUACGUCAGGGAUGGAAGAUACUUCGGAGCUACAAUUCGCUCUAUAGUACUCGUGCGAUGAUAUACCUCUUAGCUGAAGUUAGCAAUUGAUGUGUAAAUUUUGUGUGACAUAACUAUUACUGCUGUUAUCUCAACACUUUCAUCUCCAGAACAAAAGAUGGACAGGAAUUAUUCCACAAAAAAGUCUUAAGGAAGUGAAAAGGAAAACUUUUCUCUAUUUGUUUUUCCAGCAAAGAAGGAAGAGACACCUGAGUGCGUCUACGUCACAUUAUGCUUGUCAAUCUGGAAAGUAAAUCUCUUGCUUACGAAGAAAUUAGCAUCUCGAACCUAAUUCUUGAUUCACGUGUCCCCCAACAAAUCCUCUUCAUGAGAUUACGUAUUGAAAAUUGCAUUAAACCCAUCAAUUAUCACCACCUGAUUGCUUACUAUGUUUAGUAUAGGAUGACACUUUAUAGCUACGUGUCCUAUUAUUCCCAUGCUCAAAGAAGAAAAGAUAAAGAGAGUUUUCUAGAGGGGACCGACCUUUGGCUUUGGGAGGCAUAAAUCUCACAAGAAUCAAGAAUUCAACAUCCAAAGAAAAAUCCCAGAUCAUCAAGGACUGAAGAAAACAUCACAAAGAAAUGUGCUGUGGAGAUGGAGAUUGUAGGCCUUUGGCCUUCCUAUUAAGCCUGCCCUUCGCCUUUCUUGCUCUCCUCGUCUCUCUUGUGGGCAUCAUCAUUUGGAUUGUCGGGUACUGACAUUUGACUCAUUUUCUUCCAUUUUUCUUUGCAAAUUUCACUGCUGCUGCGUUGUUUUCUUGACUUUAUUUUGUCAAUCAUGUUUUGAUUCUCUCCUUUUUUCUCCUCUCCCUUUCUUGAAUUUUAUUGAUUGGUGUAGUAUACUGUUGAGCAUCAUAUGCCCAUGUUGCCUGUGCGUGACUGUGCUAGUGGAGAUGGCCCUGCAAUUGAUCAAAGCCCCCAUCCACGUUAUGGAGUGGUUCACCUCUCAGAUUCCCUGCUAGAUUAAUUCUUCUCCCUCUUUUUGUAACUUCUUCUUUUUCACAUCUUUGUUAGGAAAUUUAAAGUAAAUUGUAGACUCUGUUUUAUCUUCCUCUGCAUCUCUUGUUGUUAUUGAAUCAUUUACUUCAUCCUAGUUGCUAUUUCUGAUCCUUCUAUCUCAUGCUUAUCAAUUUCUUUGCUUUUUUGCUGGGGAAAAUACUCUUUAAAGUCUCCCCUUUGAUUCCUUCCCCCCAUGAAGAGAGAGGAGACAACAUUUGAAAGUAGAAAGAAGGAUUUUCGAACAUAUGAACUGCACUGAACCUUAUGAGAUUCUUGAACAUAAGAAACCACGCAUCAAAGAGGAUUACAUACAAUAGUUAACAGAAUUGAACAUCUGAACUGCACCCAAAUUUCCUUCGCCACAAAACAUAACUACAUAAGCAAACAUGAUGAAAAGAAAAAAAACAGCAUCAUUGGAAGGCCUUUCAUACACAACAGCAACAUGAUAAUAUAUGCGAAGCACUAAAUCAAUUUCAGUCAAGAUUGCCCUUUUUGCUCUUCUUUGUGUGAUUCAUCUUUAUCGAAGGUGUGAGUCUGACCAGGCAGGCCCUGUCCGGUAAGAAGAUCUUUCGUCGUUUGACCAAUUUCUGCUAAAGUUUCGCCAACUGCAUGCAGCACUCCACCGCCCUGUCCUUCUUGUCUCGUUUCUUCUUGGAUAAACUCCUUUUCUGUUGGUUUGGCUUCUCCUCCCUCUUCCUCGUAUUGAUUUUCCUUGGUGAUGAAUCCACCUUCCUACAUAUGUUUCAGGGUCAAAAAUCAAUCACCAAAAGCCAGCCAAAGAGAAAAAAGGCACGGAGUAUAACACAAUUUCCACAGCUUUUGCAAUUUUCUAGGACAAUGCAAGAUGCAAAAUCGCCUAGAAAAUACUUUGAUACUUGAUAGGUGAUACCUCAAAUGUAAAAAUUUGUUUUUUAUUAGUGAUUCAUAAGCACAAUUCUUCAGCCAGAUAUUUGCUUUACCUUUUGUCCUGUGAGCAUCAUAAAUAAGUGGUGCAAACAAAUCAAUUACUCGUAUCUUCAUGGUAAAAAAUCAUAAUCAGUCCGAUGUGCGAAUAAUGAAAAUUAUGACUCACUGAUUUACCUUAACUGGAGUUGAUUUCUUCUCCUCUAAUUCUCUCUGAGCCUCAGCCUUCUUCCUAGCUGCAUGCUCGGCAGCACUUUCUUCAGUUGCGACUACAGCAUCUUUAGCAGCAGCCAAUUUACUCUCAGUAUACCCGACAACUGUCUGUCCUGCACCCGCCACCUUAUCCUUGGCCACCCCAGCUACAUCAGCCAUUACUUUAGUACCCUGAGCAGCCUUUUCUGCCGUGUAAUGUGCCGCACCCCAGCCAGCCACGGCCGCCAUGUCUGUGGCUUCCCCGGCCACCUUUCCCAUGUAUCCUACUGCAGUUUUGCCGCUUUCCACUGUAAUAUCCUUAACAACCGCUGUUUGUUCUCCAACAUAACCAGCCGCCUUCUUGGUUGCAUCCACUGUAGCAUCCUUAGCCUGGACCGCCUUUUCCACUGUAACAUCCUUGGCCUCUUGACCCUUUUCAACAGCGGCGUCCUUCAAGGCUUUAGCCUUCUCACUAGCAACUUGAGUUCCACUUUCAACACCUUGCUUGACAGAUUCCUGGGCUUGGCCUGCCUUUUCUGCAGCAUAUUGGGAUCCAGUUUGAACUCCUUGCUUCGCUGUUUCCUUGGCUUGCCCUGCCUUCUCAGCGGCAUACUCAGAUGUUGCACCAGGUUUCUGACAUGCCGCUUCCUUUGCCUGCCGCGAACGCUCCUCGGCAGCCCUGAUGGCCUCCAUGGAAUUCUGCUGCGCCUGUUGCCUAUACUCGGUUAUCUCCUCCAAGGAAGGCAUUUCUUUCUCUUUACCUUCCUCUUCGCCCUUCUUCCUUUCUAUCCCUUCACCCCUUUCUUCAUCUGUGCCUCCACCGGCUUUCACAGCCAGAGACUCAAAAUGGGUAGCCAUUUUUGGGACCCUGUCUUUCUCUGCAUCGACUGCUCGCUCAUCCGUAACAUCUUCCCUUCUCAUUUGCUCUGACGACAUUGUCAAUUCUUGAUCAAAAGAUGAUAGAUAUCUUUGGAAAUUUCUUUUGGAACACAAAUGGAUUUUAUGUAGUAAAAAAAUGCAGUACUAGGAUGUAUCCUAUGCAAUGUGACUCUGUGUGAGAAUUCGAGACAUCAGGAAGUUUGGAAAAUGGUUAUAAAAACUGAGGCCCAGAGGUGAUGGCGGUUUCCAAGGAGAUCGAUGUAAGAAGAGGAAAUGACAGGUGGGCAAAGCUCAUGCAAUGUAGUGGUGUUGUGGGGUGGUGGCCUGUGUGAGUCAGCAAUCGAGUCAAGCAAAGAUGUACACGUGUUUUUUUUCAGCAGGAAUGAUACAACGAAUCGGCAAUGCUUUUUGAAAAAUUGUGUGGAUAAUUGGAAUUUAGAAAAAUGAAGAUGUAUAUGUAAACAUUUCCAAGUUCAAAUUUAUGUAAAUAUGACUGCAUGAAAAUGAUUAAUUGGGGCAAAUAUGAAUAUGGGUCAACAUGUAUACCAAAACGGACCGAGAAAUCGAUAGUGCUGUUUUGUUUAAUAUCACAAAGGAAAGCCCAAGUGCCAGCAUUCAGCAGGAACAUACUAUUGAUGAUUUCCUACAAUUUUUUGGUACAAAAACGUUUGGGAUGAAUUAUUUCGAGUCAUCAUCAUGAGUCACGGCGUACCCCUGUAAUCAUACAUCGUUUUACAGAAAUUCUUACAAAUUGUUUAUUAAUACAAUUCUUACAUCAACAACGGGAUGUAAAUACACGAUCUUUCCUAUACGCAGGCAGGCAGCAGAAAAGGUGAUUACAGAAUUUAGUAAAUGUAACUAUAAGUAUUAGAACCAUUUCCAAGUCAAAAUCUGGUUUCCACUCACUGACCUGGAUCCAACUAGACAUGGACGGUGUUUCAAUUGUGGUUUAAUCAAAUCCACUUUGAUCCUCCUAGAUGCCAUGAGGCUUGUUGUCCACUUGUUUCAUUGAACUAGCCCAAAGUGCUAAUGCGUUUAUAAUUCAAGUCGCAAAGCAGUUGCCAAUCAGCCCGUAGUCUAGUGCUGUAGACUAAUGGAAGUCCCCAAAGAGAGACUGGUAUUCUUUCGAGGGACUGAAGUAAUAAUCAGUAUGUUGAAUUGAUGAAAUUUGGCAGUUUGAAAAUAUGCAUUUCCAACUGAAGUGCCAAAACAGCUUCAAAUUUAAGGUUAACGUUCGAGUACUAAAGAAUGACUUGUCAAAGCCCCUGUAUUGCAAAACUUCCAGUUUAAAAGGCGAUAUCGAUGAAUGGUAGAAUUUUAACCACAUUAACAGAACAAAAAGAUGAAGCAAUUCUGACACAAGAGAAUGCUAUAGUUGCCUGAAAUUGGCCUGAAAAUAAUCCAAUAACAUUAAUAAUUCUCAAAAAAUGAGAACAACUUCUUAAUCAGGCAUCCUCUCAUGCCAAAAGCCCCCGUAGUCUCCACUUUACAAUUGAAACAAUCAAACAGUGAUCAAAUUAUUCCCUUGCAUUGCACGAGAUAAAUAGAAUAGAGCCAAUUUCUACCCUUAAACAAUGGACAUUUCUUUCUGUUGAUGAACUAAGUAUCAGU